GUGGGGAAUAUUGGACAAUGGGCGCAAGCCUGAUCCAGCCAUGCCGCGUGAAUGAUGAAGGCCUUAGGGUUGUAAAGUUCUUUCACCGGAGAAGAUAAUGACGGUAUCCGGAGAAGAAGCCCCGGCUAACUUCGUGCCAGCAGCCGCGGUAAUACGAAGGGGGCUAGCGUUGUUCGGAAUUACUGGGCGUAAAGCGCACGUAGGCGGACAUUUAAGUCAGGGGUGAAAUCCCAGAGCUCAACUCUGGAACUGCCUUUGAUACUGGGUGUCUUGAGUGUGGAAGAGGUCAGUGGAAUUGCGAGUGUAGAGGUGAAAUUCGUAGAUAUUCGCAGGAACACCAGUGGCGAAGGCGGCUGACUGGUCCACAACUGACGCUGAGGUGCGAAAGCGUGGGGAGCAAACAGGAUUAGAAACCCUAGUAGUCC
rnacentral:rRNA from 1 species